GAAACGGCUUUGAAGGGAAGAAGUAACAGAAGCAACACACACAGAGAGCAGCCGGAUGGUGAGAGGCGCGUGCAGUACUUUUGCGAAUACAUCCCGGAGCUUCGCACCGAACUUUUUUCAGUAGGCUGCGACGGAGUGGCACUCGUUACCGUGCUCAAUGAGGCGGGAGAUUUUCCGCGAAGUUAGGUGGUAUCACGGGACCCGGUUCUCGUCCUAAGA
rnacentral:ncRNA from 1 species